ACCAUCAUCGUCUAGUGGUUUAGGAUACCAGAUUUUCAUAGACACGCACACACACACGUGAUGAAUUCUCUGGGGACCGGAGUUCGAACCUCCGUGAUGGUG